rnacentral:rRNA from 1 species
CACCGCGGUUAUACGAGAGGCUCAAGUUGACAGACAUCGGCGUAAAGAGUGGUUAAGUUAAAACUUAAACUAAAGACAAACAUCUUCAAGACUGUUAUACGUACCCGAAGACAGGAGACUCAUCCACGAAAGUAACUUUAUUUAAUCUGACCCCACGAAAGCUACGGCA